GUCUACAGCCAUACCACCCUAAACAUGCCCAAUCCCGAUCUCAUCUGAUCUUAGAAGCUAAACAGGGUCAGGCUUGGUUAGUACUCGGAUGGGAAAGAAAAUAAGGCUGCCAAUA
rnacentral:rRNA from 1 species